CUGGUAUUGAUUGGUGCUUGCAUCAUGAUUUACAUUUGAGUGAGUUGCGAACUGGUGAGUAACACGUGGGAAACCUGCCCAGAAGCGGGGGAUAACACCUGGAAACAGAUGCUAAUACCGCAUAACAACUUGGACCGCAUGGUCCGAGUUUGAAAGAUGGCUUCGGCUAUCACUUUUGGAUGGUCCCGCGGCGUAUUAGCUAGAUGGUGAGGUAACGGCUCACCAUGGCAAUGAUACGUAGCCGACCUGAGAGGGUAAUCGGCCACAUUGGGACUGAGACACGGCCCAAACUCCUACGGGAGGCAGCAGUAGGGAAUCUUCCACAAUGGACGAAAGUCUGAUGGAGCAACGCCGCGUGAGUGAAGAAGGGUUUCGGCUCGUAAAACUCUGUUGUUAAAGAAGAACAUAUCUGAGAGUAACUGUUCAGGUAUUGACGGUAUUUAACCAGAAAGCCACGGCUAACUACGUGCCAGCAGCCGCGGUAAUACGUAGGUGGCAAGCGUUGUCCGGAUUUAUUGGGCGUAAAGCGAGCGCAGGCGGUUUUUUAAGUCUGAUGUGAAAGCCUUCGGCUCAACCGAAGAAGUGCAUCGGAAACUGGGAAACUUGAGUGCAGAAGAGGACAGUGGAACUCCAUGUGUAGCGGUGAAAUGCGUAGAUAUAUGGAAGAACACCAGUGGCGAAGGCGGCUGUCUGGUCUGUAACUGACGCUGAGGCUCGAAAGUAUGGGUAGCAAACAGGAUUAGAUACCCUGGUAGUCCAUACCGUAAACGAUGAAUGCUAAGUGUUGGAGGGUUUCCGCCCUUCAGUGCUGCAGCUAACGCAUUAAGCAUUCCGCCUGGGGAGUACGGCCGCAAGGCUGAAACUCAAAGGAAUUGACGGGGGCCCGCACAAGCGGUGGAGCAUGUGGUUUAAUUCGAAGCUACGCGAAGAACCUUACCAGGUCUUGACAUACUAUGCAAAUCUAAGAGAUUAGACGUUCCCUUCGGGGACAUGGAUACAGGUGGUGCAUGGUUGUCGUCAGCUCGUGUCGUGAGAUGUUGGGUUAAGUCCCGCAACGAGCGCAACCCUUAUUAUCAGUUGCCAGCAUUAAGUUGGGCACUCUGGUGAGACUGCCGGUGACAAACCGGAGGAAGGUGGGGAUGACGUCAAAUCAUCAUGCCCCUUAUGACCUGGGCUACACACGUGCUACAAUGGAUGGUACAACGAGUUGCGAACUCGCGAGAGUAAGCUAAUCUCUUAAAGCCAUUCUCAGUUCGGAUUGUAGGCUGCAACUCGCCUACAUGAAGUCGGAAUCGCUAGUAAUCGCGGAUCAGCAUGCCGCGGUGAAUACGUUCCCGGGCCUUGUACACACCGCCCGUCACACCAUGAGAGUUUGUAACACCCAAAGUCGGUGGGGU
rnacentral:rRNA from 2 species